ACGUGCCAGCAGCCGCGGUAAUACGUAUGUCACAAGCGUUAUCCGGAUUUAUUGGGCGUAAAGCGCGUCUAGGUGGUUAUAUAAGUCUGAUGUGAAAAUGCAGGGCUCAACUCUGUAUUGCGUUGGAAACUGUGUAACUAGAGUACUGGAGAGGUAAGCGGAACUACAAGUGUAGAGGUGAAAUUCGUAGAUAUUUGUAGGAAUGCCGAUGGGGAAGCCAGCUUACUGGACAGAUACUGACGCUGAAGCGCGAAAGCGUGGGUAGCAAAUAGG
rnacentral:rRNA from 1 species